rnacentral:tRNA from 1 species
ACCUUUUUAGUAUACGACAGUACAGCUGCCUUCCAAGCAUCAGGAUUAUUAAAAAUAAAAAAGGUA